AAGUCGUAACAAGGUUUCCGUAGGUGAACCUGCGGAAGGAUCAUUAACACGUAUCCAAACGUUAAACCCCCCUGUGAACCUUCACCUGUACUCGUACGUCCGUUAGAAAAAGCAGCAAUCCCUGGUAAAUCAUCGCCGAACAGUUUUCGAUUCAGGGACGUCUGCAAGGAGCGUGCAUGUUGUGCGAAGCAAGUGGCCUGGCAUCCCCAAGCAGUUAGUGUCUGAAAGUGUCAUUACCUGUGUAAGGAUGACGCCGCGUUGGAGGCCCACACGGCCGACGACCGGGUUGGGCGCAAGCCCCCCUUUAACAAACCCCCUGCCAAUCGCGGCCGCGAUAAUACGCAGUCGACCAAAAACC
rnacentral:misc_RNA from 1 species